ensembl:Y_RNA Y_RNA Y RNA
GGCUAGUCCAAGUGCAGUGGUGUUAACAAUGAUCACAGCCAGUGACAAAUUUCUUUGUUUCUUCUCCCACUCCUUCACUUGACUAGCCUCAA